rnacentral:lncRNA from 1 species
AGAGUAUGUUUAAAUAGGGGGAGUUUAUUUGAAAAGAAUUAAUUUUGAUCAUUGACAUGCUUGUUAUUUUAAUGCAUGACUUAACACAUAAUAUAUUUUGCAUGUGGCAUGAUGUCUUAAAUUAUGGGUUCUCAAUAUUUUGUAAUGCUCCAUGCUUGGACAAUUUGAUUGAAUGUUUGGAAUACUGUAUAAAAUUGUUUUUGGGUAUUAUUGAAAAGAAAUUUCAGAUUUGUCGUUCACAAUCAUCUUUAAAAACUGAAAGUUGAAUAAAUUUGUAAAAAGGAGAAGAGAAAGAUAUCUCUAUUUAGGCAAAAUGAAUUGACCUUGAUCUAUCUUUUUACUUGCCUAACUUUGAUACAUAAUAUCCUAAUACUUGUUAAAAUAUCCUCCAUUUUGUAUCAAAACUCAAUAAUAAAUACAAAUAUUCUGAAUAUGCUCUUAUAUAUUUGAAAUAUGUGUUUUCAAUCGUAGAUGAGCUACAAUGUGGAAGAUACAUAUCUCAAAUUAUGACUUUGAAAGCCUCUAUUGAAAAUCUUUAUGAAAUUCAGAAUAUGAUUUUGUAUAN